AACAAUGCACGUAAAACUUCCUAUAUCAGUGUAAUUUCUGCUGUAGGUUUUUAAUAUGUAAUUUUUCCAGGUAAAGAAAUUUUCCUAAGAAUUAUUUUUAACCAGAAUUAUAUACUGAACUUCAUUGAAUGCUGUAGUGGGUUUCAUGGUGGCUCCCCCCAAAAUAUGUCCAUAUCUUUAAUACCUGAAUCCUCUAUGUAUUACUUUAUUUUGAAAAAUAGUCUUUUCAGAUGUAAUUACAUUAAUGAUCUGAAGAUAAGAACAUCCUGGAUUACUGAGGUGAACCCUAAAUACAAAAGCAAGUGUCCUUAUAAGAGACAGAAGAAAACACAGAGAAGAGGAGAGAUCUAUGUGAAGCUGGAGGAAGUGGUCGAAGUGAUACAGCCAUAAGGAAUGCUGACAGAUGCCAGAAGCUGGAAGAGGCAGAGAAUUCAUACUGUUGAUAAAUUAUUAUGAAUGAAUGGAGUAAAGCAAAGCCUUUAUGUGUGGACAAGUUACUCAAGAUCGGAGAACUCAUACAGGUUACUACAAGAAUUGAAUAUAAUUCCCUGCACUGUACAGUAGAAACUUCUUGAUUAUCUAUUUUAUACGUAGUAAUUAGUAUCUGCAGAUCUCAAGCUUCCAAUUCAUCCCUUCCCAUCAUCUUCCCCCCAGUAACUUGUGACAAUCUCCAGGUCCAUCCAUGUUGCUGCAAAUGGUAUUAUUUUAUUCUUUUUUAUGGCUGAGUAGUAUUCCAUUGUAUAAAUAUACCAAACUUCUUUAUCCAUUCAUCUGUUGAUGGACAUUUAGGUUGUUUCCAUGUCUUGACUAUUGUAAAUAGUGCUGCUAUGAACA